AUUGAACGCUGGCGGCAUGCCUUACACAUGCAAGUCGAACGGUAACGCGGGGCAACCUGGCGACGAGUGGCGAACGGGUGAGUAAUGCAUCGGAACGUGCCCAGUAGUGGGGGAUAGCCCGGCGAAAGCCGGAUUAAUACCGCAUACGACCUAUGGGUGAAAGCGGGGGGCCGUAAGGCCUCGCGCUAUUGGAGCGGCCUAUGUCAGAUUAGGUAGUUGGUGGGGUAAAAGCCCACCAAGCCUUCGAUCUGUAGCUGGUCUGAGAGGACGACCAGCCAGACUGGGACUGAGACACGGCCCAGACUCAUACGGGGGGCAGCAGUGGGGAAUUUUGGACAAUGGGCGCAAGCCUGAUCCAGCCAUGCCGCGUGCGGGAAGAAGGCCUUCGGGUUGUAAACCGCUUUUGUCAGGGAAGAAAUCUUCUGAAUUAAUACCUCGGGAGGAUGACGGUACCUGAAGAAUAAGCACCGGCUAACUACGUGCCAGCCGCCGCCGUAAUAC
rnacentral:rRNA from 1 species